AUUGAACGCUGGCGGCAUGCCUUACACAUGCAAGUCGAACGGCAGCACGGGGGCAACCCUGGUGGCGAGUGGCGAACGGGUGAGUAACAUAUCGGAACAUACCCUAGAGUGGGGGAUAACGUAGCGAAAGUUACGCUAAUACCGCAUACGAUCUAAGGAUGAAAGUGGGGGAUCUUCGGACCUCAUGCUCAUGGAGUGGCCGAUAUCUGAUUAGCUAGUUGGUGAGGUAAAGGCUCACCAAGGCGACGAUCAGUAGCUGGUUUGAGAGAACGACCAGCCACACUGGAACUGAGACACGGUCCAGACUCCUACGGGAGGCAGCAGUGGGGAAUUUUGGACAAUGGGGGCAACCCUGAUCCAGCAAUGCCGCGUGA
rnacentral:rRNA from 1 species